rnacentral:rRNA from 1 species
UGGGCAAUCUGCCCUGCACUCUGGGACAAGCCCUGGAAACGGGGUCUAAUACCGGAUGAUAUCUGGGGGCGCAUGUUCCCGGGUUGAAAGCUCCGGCGGUGCAGGAUGAGCCCGCGGCCUAUCAGCUUGUUGGUGGGGUGAUGGCCUACCAAGGCGACGACGGGUAGCCGGCCUGAGAGGGCGACCGGCCACACUGGGACUGAGACACGGCCCAGACUCCUACGGGAGGCAGCAGUGGGGAAUAUUGCACAAUGGGCGGAAGCCUGAUGCAGCGACGCCGCGUGAGGGAUGACGGCCUUCGGGUUGUAAACCUCUUUCAGCAGGGAAGAAGCGUGAGUGACGGUACCUGCAGAAGAAGCGCCGGCUAACUACGUGCCAGCAGCCGCGGUAAUACGUAGGGCGCAAGCGUUGUCCGGAAUUAUUGGGCGUAAAGAGCUCGUAGGCGGCUUGUCGCGUCGGAUGUGAAAGCCCGGGGCUUAACCCCGGGUCUGCAUUCGAUACGGGCAGGCUGGAGUGUGGUAGGGGAGAUCGGAAUUCCUGGUGUAGCGGUGAAAUGCGCAGAUAUCAGGAGGAACACCGGUGGCGAAGGCGGAUCUCUGGGCCAUUACUGACGCUGAGGAGCGAAAGCUGG